rnacentral:ncRNA from 1 species
UAAAGAUAGAGGUGCGUUUUUUAUCAGUAGUAAAGCUGAGGUCUGCGGAGACCGCCGAAGCUUUUGCGAAAGGAACAAACGCCGAAGCGUAUAUUUGCCGUAAAAUAUAUGCUGGGCAUAUUGUUAAGAGCAGUAUGACUGUCAUCAUAUA